rnacentral:tRNA from 1 species
ACUUUCAAAGGAUAAUAGCAAUCCGAUGGUCUUAGGAACCAGAUAUCUUGGUGCAAAUCCAAGUGAAAGUA